GUGGCGCACGGGUGCGUAACGCGUGGGAACCUGCCUUUAGGUUCGGAAUAACAGUUAGAAAUGACUGCUAAUACCGGAUAAUGUCUUCGGACCAAAGAUUUAUUGCCUUUAGAUGGGCCCGCGUUGGAUUAGAUAGUUGGUGGGGUAAUGGCCUACCAAGUCGACGAUCCAUAGCUGGUCUGAGAGGAUGAUCAGCCACACUGGGACUGAGACACGGCCCAGACUCCUACGGGAGGCAGCAGUGGGGAAUAUUGGACAAUGGGCGAAAGCCUGAUCCAGCAAUGCCGCGUGAGUGAUGAAGGCCUUAGGGUUGUAAAGCUCUUUUACCAGGGAUGAUAAUGACAGUACCUGGAGAAUAAGCUCCGGCUAACUCCGUGCCAGCAGCCGCGGUAAUACGGAGGGAGCUAGCGUUGUUCGGAAUUACUGGGCGUAAAGCGCACGUAGGCGGCUUUUCAAGUCAGGGGUGAAAUCCCGGGGCUCAACCCCGGAACUGCCCUUGAAACUGGAUGGCUAGAAUACUGGAGAGGUGAGUGGAAUUCCGAGUGUAGAGGUGAAAUUCGUAGAUAUUCGGAAGAACACCAGUGGCGAAGGCGACUCACUG
rnacentral:rRNA from 1 species